AGUAAAGUGUCUGAAAAAGAGUAAUUUUGAUAGAAUUAAGAAUACAGAUUAACCCUGUCUUUACUA
rnacentral:tRNA from 1 species